rnacentral:rRNA from 1 species
UACGGAGGGUGCGAGCGUUGUCCGGAAUUAUUGGGCGUAAAGAGCUCGUAGGCGGUGUGUCGCGUCGGCCGUGAAAACCUGCAGCUUAACUGUGGGCUUGCGGUCGAUACGGGCAUCACUGGAGUUCGGCAGGGGAGACUGGAAUUCCUGGUGUAGCGGUGAAAUGCGCAGAUAUCAGGAGGAACACCGGUGGCGAAGGCGGGUCUCUGGGCCGAUACUGACGCUGAGGAGCGAAAGCGUGGGGAGCAAACAGG